AUCCUUUCAGGGACAUCCGGAUAUCCAAUAAAAUUGGAACGAUAAAGAAAAGAUUAGCAUGACCCUCUUAAGGAUGACAUGUACAAAUCGAGAAGUCCAAAUUUUU